UACGUAGGGGGCAAGCGUUGUCCGGAUUCAUUGGGCGUAAAGAGCGUGUAGGCGGCCAGGUAGGUCGGUUGUGAAAACUGGAGGCUCAACCUUCAGAGGUCGACCGAAACCAUCUGGCUAGAGUGCGGUAGGGGAGACUGGAAUUCCUGGUGUAGCGGUGAAAUGCGCAGAUAUCAGGAGGAACACCGGUGGCGAAGGCGGGUCUCUGGGCCGUAACUGACGCUGAGGAGCGAAAGCGUGGGGAGCGAACAGG
rnacentral:rRNA from 1 species